AAGCUUUUUUGAUCUGGGCUGGACUCAACGGCCAUGGCCACAAAAAAACAAUCUUCCAAAACCUAGAUCAAACCCCCUUAGAUCUUCUUCCUCCUCAUCAAUCCUUCAUUAAUCUGCCUCCAUUUCAUCUCUGUUUAACUAUGUCAACAGAGGAGCAAGCACCACCGUCCCAAGAGAUGCAGUCCCUCUCGGUCAAUUCUUCCUAUUCAAAUUCUAUUCCUGCCUCCUCUUCUUCCUCUUCCCAGCUGAGUGCAGAGGAGAGGUUUCGGAUUGUAAGGAGCGUUGGAGAAGAGUGUAUACAAGAGGAUGAACUCUUCAAUCUUCUUUCCAAAAAGCCCCAACCCAUUUGCUAUGAUGGCUUCGAGCCUUCUGGGAGAAUGCACAUUGCCCAGGGAGUUAUGAAGACUAUAAAUGUGAAUAAACUGACGUCUGCUGGUUGCAAAGUGAAAAUUUGGAUUGCUGAUUGGUUUGCCCAGCUAAACAACAAAAUGGGAGGAGACUUGAAGAAAAUUCAAACGGUAGGACGUUAUUUGAUUGAGAUAUGGAAGGCAGUUGGGAUGGAUCUUGAAGGAGAUAAAGUGGAAUUUCUCUGGUCUUCAGAGGAAAUUAACUCUCGGGCAUUUGAGUACUGGCCUCUUGUAAUGGACAUUGCGCGCAGGAACAAGCUUCCCAGGAUAAUGAGGUGUGUUCAAAUAAUGGGUCGUAGUGAGCAAGACGAGCUGACAGCAGCCCAGAUUCUGUAUCCAUGCAUGCAGUGUGCUGACAUAUUUUUUCUCAAGGCUGACAUUUGUCAGCUGGGCAUGGAUCAACGGAAAGUGAAUGUUCUUGCAAGAGAAUACUGUGAUGACAUCAAGAGGAAAAACAAGCCCAUCAUUUUAUCUCAUCACAUGCUCCCGGGUUUACAACAAGGGCAAGAAAAGAUGUCUAAAAGUGAUCCAUCUUCUUCCAUCUUUAUGGAGGACGAAGAGGCAGAAGUAAAUGUGAAGAUAAAGAAGGCAUAUUGUCCCCCAAAAAUUGUUGAUGGGAAUCCUUGUCUGGACUACAUCAAAUUCAUUAUCUUCCCAUGGUUUAAUGAAUUUAAGGUGGAGCGCAGUGUUGAAAAUGGUGGAGAAAAGAUCUUUAAAAGCUUUGAAGAAGUUGUUGCUGAAUAUGAAAGUGGUGAACUGCAUCCUGGUGACCUGAAACCUUCUCUGGCUAGAGCAUUAAAUAAGAUACUGCAGCCUGUACGUGAUCAUUUCAACAAUGAUGCUAAUGCUAAGGAUCUGUUGAAACGGGUUAAGGGUUAUAGAGUAACACGGUGAUGCUGAAGAACAUGUUUGUGUUAGCUUCUCUGGUUGUUCAUGCUGAGGAAGAGGGGAUGGAGGUGCGGACAACUACAAGAAGUAGCAAGCAGAGGGUGACAGCAAGCAGCGGUCGACGGCUAGCAAUGUGAAAUGGCAAGCAACAGCACACGAUGGUGAACGGCGCGAGUCACUAGCGAUGACAAGCGACGCAAGCUGCAUGUGAUGACGAACAGGGAGAGAUACGAGCGGCUGGUAACGACCGGGUGAUGCAAGCGACAGGUGACAGUGAGUAGUGACAAACGGCGAAGAAAUUCAGUUGAAUUUUGAUUUUUAAUUUUUGAUAAUUUAGAUUUAUCUAUUUUGAUUUGUGCUGGAUUUAUGGAAUUUAAAUCUUGAAUUUAUUUUUUUUUUUGUUUGUGGAGAUUAAAUUUAAAAAUUUUAAUUUAUUGCUGGGAUUUG